rnacentral:rRNA from 1 species
CCCUUAGAUGUUCUGGGCCGCACACGCGCUACACUGAAGGAGGCAGCGUGUACUCCUGGAUCGAAAGAUUUGGGUAACCCGCGAAUCUCCUUCGUGCUAGGGAUUGAGGUUUGCAAUUAUCCUUCAUGAACGAGGAAUUCCCAGUAAGUGCAAGUCAUAAGCUUGCGCUGACUACGUCCCUGCCCUUUGUACACACCGCCCGUCGCUCCUACCGAUUGAAUGGUCCGGUGAAGCGUUUGGACUAUGGUUUUCUGACGGUUCGCCAUUGGAUUACCGUGGGAAAUUCGUUAAACCUUAUCAUUUAGAGGAAGGAGAANUCGUANCA